rnacentral:rRNA from 1 species
UGGGGAAUAUUGGACAAUGGGCGCAAGCCUGAUCCAGCCAUGCCGCGUGUGUGAAGAAGGCCUUUUGGUUGUAAAGCACUUUAAGCGAGGUGGAGGCUACUUGGAUUAAUACUCUAGGAUAGUGGACGUUACUCGCAGAAUAAGCACCGGCUAACUCUGUGCCAGCAGCCGCGGUAAUACAGAGGGUGCGAGCGUUAAUCGGAUUUACUGGGCGUAAAGCGUGCGUAGGCGGCUUCUUAAGUCGGAUGUGAAAUCCCUGAGCUUAACUUAGGAAUUGCAUUCGAUACUGGGAAGCUAGAGUAUGGGAGAGGAUGGUAGAAUUCCAGGUGUAGCGGUGAAAUGCGUAGAGAUCUGGAGGAAUACCGAUGGCGAAGGCAGCCAUCUGGCCUAAUACUGACGCUGAGGUACGAAAGCAUGGGGAGCAAACAGG